rnacentral:rRNA from 1 species
GACUCCAUGAAGCUGGAUUCGCUAGUAAUCGCGCAUCAGCCACGGCGCGGUGAAUACGUUCCCGGGCCUUGUACACACCGCCCGUCACACCAUGAGAGUCGGGAACACCCGAAGUCCGUAGUCUGACCGCAAGGGGGACGCGGCCGAAGGUGGGUUCGAUAAUUGGGGUGAAGUCGUAACAAGGUACC